GAUGAACGCUAGCGGCAGGCUUAAUACAUGCAAGUCGAGGGGCAGCAGUUUUGUAGCAAUACAGAAGCUGGCGACCGGCAAACGGGUGCGGAACACGUACGCAACCUUCCUUUAACUGGGAGAUAGCCCACCGAAAGGUGGAUUAAUAUCCCAUAGUAUAUUUGAGUGGCAUCACUUAGAUAUUAAAGCUCCGGCGGUUAAAGAUGGGCGUGCGUCUGAUUAGGUAGUUGGCGGGGUAACGGCCCACCAAGCCCACGAUCAGUAGCUGAUGUGAGAGCAGGAUCAGCCACACGGGCACUGAGACACGGGCCCGACUCCUACGGGAGGCAGCAGUAAGGAAUAUUGGUCAAUGGACGCAAGUCUGAACCAGCCAUGCCGCGUGGAGGAUGAAGGUCCUCUGGAUUGUAAACUUCUUUUCUUUGGGACGAAACCCCUGUUUCUACGGGGACUGACGGUACCAGAGGAAUAAGCACCGGCUAACUCCGUGCCAGCAGCCGCCGCCGUAA
rnacentral:rRNA from 1 species